AAAAAAAAAAGCAGAUACAGGUGAAACUUUGGGCUGUGAGGACUUGGUCUUUUUUCCUGAUGUCUAGCGGAAGUGACCAGUUCUUGCAAUACAUUGAUAAUUAUGAAUAUUUUUUCAUAAGCCAUUCAGUUUUGUCAUGAUUGCACAAUAGCAAAAAAGGAAUCAAAGUUUUUCUAGGGUUAAGACAACUACAAUGAAGUACAAAGCGAAACAGAUAAAAAGAAAUGUCCAAGUUAAUUUAUUCAUCUGUGCAGUUCGGAAGAAAAGCAGAGCAUGUUUUCAAAUCAUUCUACAUCCCUAGUAGAGAGCAUACAUAUGGUUAUGAUGCAUUUCUGCAAACUUGCUGAAUAUUUUAUCCCUGAAAGGAAUAAAACAUGAAAGGGCAUGUUGUUGUCAGCACUGCCAAAAUGAAGGGGAGACAACUCAGGACUUUAUGAAAAAUCCAUAUGAAAUGGCUAGUUCUAUCAGCCUGAAAGAGCAAAGAUCAACAUCAGAGAAAGGUUUUCAACAGAAGGCUAUGAAAAAAGAGAGAUAUGACCAUUGAUUUAUUAUUAAUUGUUUUCUUUUAUAUUUUCUCUUGGAUCUUGUAAUCUCAAUUUUAAUUUUUUAUGACCAAAAUAAUUACAGAGCAUGAAGGUUCACCACUACAAACUAAGAGAAAAACCCUCAAAUUUUGUACAAAGGGAAACUAUCACAGACUUUUAUUAAGGAAAAAUUAAACUGGGCAAUCACUAAUGAAAAGUAUGUGUGUGUCAUAAUUGCAAGGUAGGAGCAGAAAUAGAAUAUCCAUGAAAGAGAGCUGUUUCAGAGGCAAUCAUAAGUACAUUCAGCCUGAUUACCAGUUAUCAAAAACAACAAUGCACUGAAAGUAAAAAGAAAAAAAAGCCAGUAAGUCAGAGUAUGCUACAUCAAAUCAGGGAAAGAAGUAAUAACAACAGAAACUUUUGAGGAUCCCUAGAGUAUAAAAAUUACUCAGAAAAAAGUGAUUGGAAAAUAAUCUUUAACAGAGUGCCCCACAAAUAUCAGAAUUUUAAGACUGACUCCAGUGCUGACACUUCUACAAUAUCAAAAUUGAUGUAUGAUACAGUUUGGCCAUUCUUGCAGCUGCUGUCUGCUAGCGCUAUCUUGAAAUCCCCAAGGACUGUGUUGACAUGCAAAGGGCAGUGUAUCAAACAAACAAGUGAAAGGGCAAGCUGUACAUAUUACCAUAUGGUUGUGUUCUGCCAGGCCAACAUUGUAACUGGAUUAAUUUGGGAAAAAUUGCAAUGAUGCCUAAUAUGAAGUUCUAUUGUGUGAGUACCACACAGAGACUAUCUGCUCCACAACUGCCAAAAGGCCAGGUAAAAUUAGAAAGAAUGGAGAGUAAUGGAGUUACUGUGAUGAUUCAUGGACAGUUAAGUACAUUUUGGACAGUUUUCACUGAGAAAAGGGACAACUAUUUAAGAUGCAAAAAAGGUGUUUACUGUCUACAUGGAUGAUGUAUGGGAAUGUUCAGACGAAAAAAGCAAGUACUCAGAGGAAAUCUCUAAAACAAUAAGAACUUCUGGUCUGAAACGCAACAAAGCAAAAUGUGAACUGUGCCAAAUACGUCAGCUUUCCAGGCCAGCCAUAAGAUUAGUCAAGAUGGGCAGUGUCCAGAUCUGGAAAAAGACAGCCAUCUUAGAACUGCAGCCUCUUUAUAAUAUAUGGAAUGGAAAACAAAGCAGCAUAAUAAACAGUCAUGACAUUCUGACAAAAUUUAAGUUUUUUGAACUACUGAUGGGCUCUGAGUUUUGAAAGCUGAAUUUAUGUGUGGUUUGCAAUCAAGAAGCAGCUUUGAAAGAAGUAGACACUAACAUUGAGGGCUCUAGUGCAAACUUUGUCUGAAUUGUAUAGUUAGUGACUGUAUGCCUGCAUAGUAUAGAUAAUGUAUUACUACAUCAGUAACAUUUCGUAUUAAAAGCCAUUUGAUUUCUUUUCCAAAACAUUACAACUACAUAGGCAGGAAGAAAACAAAAAAAAUGUCUGUUGGGUGUUUCAGUUUAUGAAAGCAUUUUAAUUUCGCUUCAGACUUUUCACCCAGUUACAGGUCACACUCUUUGUGCCUGUAAAUCUGAUUCUUCAACCCCAACUCAGAGCUGCUAGGGCUUAUACAUGUAAGUCAACUGAUGUAACUGCAACUCAACCUGACUAAAGGUGGGAGAAUCAGAAUGUAAAAUAACAGUAUGUGGUCCAUCAUUAGGUGAGAAGAUUUCCAGUGUUAACAGAGAGGGCAAGAUCCAGUGGAAUAAGCCAGCUGUAAACAUAACAUCUAUGUCUGCAAGGUCCUAUGUCACUGAGAUUCAGGAAGGAUCACUUAGAAGAAAUCAAAUCAGCCUCAGUUUGUUCCAUUUUCCUUAGAAGGUGUAAAAAAUACUUUGCAGGUCCAUUCUUUCAUUCAUUGUAGGAAAUCAGACUGUUAAGACAGGGCACAAAAACACCUCUCCCAAAAUUACUGGAAUCCAUUUUUGGGUUGGACUGUGAUUUUUGCUUUGAAUCAUUAUGUUUUCAAUGCAUCAUUUCUGUGCAAAUAAGAUCAGAAUUAGCUGCCUAAAAGGCAUGUGGUGCUAGUAUAUCAAGUUGCAAUUUUCCUGACAGACCCAUAUCAUCCAUAGUAGCAUUGCUAAUAAUGACCCAUGCCUUUCCUUUAAAAUGAAUGUACUAGUGUAAUUGCAUAACAUGUGAGGGGUUGUUUCUCUGUAUACCUAAAAUCACAAUCUUGUAUUAUGGAAGGCAAAUAAUAUUCUUUGCAUCAGGUCUUCCCAUCAAAUUAUUAAAAUACUUGUGUGCAUCAUAUUGUCAGAAGAGAAAAGCAUGCUAGCUUACAUGGCAAAGCGGUGAAUCAAACAAAUCCAAACACUUCCUUGUGCAAUUUUCAUGGUUGCCUAGGGCUUUAUUUUACUUGCUCCUGAUAGAUACCUUUCUAUUUUUUUUUGUAAAGUCAUUAACUCAAGCAGAGAAAAUUAACUAAACCACUAAUAUUAAUUACAGGUA